AGAGUUUGAUCCUGGCUCAGGACGAACGCUGGCGGCGUGCCUAAUACAUGCAAGUAGAACGCUGAAGGCUUUAGCUUGCUAGAGUUGGAAGAGUUGCGAACGGGUGAGUAACGCGUAGGUAACCUGCCUAUUAGUGGGGGAUAACUAUUGGAAACGAUAGCUAAUACCGCAUAAUAGUGUUUAACACAUGUUAGAGACUUAAAAGAUGCAAUUGCAUCACUAGUAGAUGGACCUGCGUUGUAUUAGCUAGUUGGUGGGGUAACGGCCUACCAAGGCGACGAUACAUAGCCGACCUGAGAGGGUGAUCGGCCACACUGGGACUGAGACACGGCCCAGACUCCUACGGGAGGCAGCAGUAGGGAAUCUUCGGCAAUGGGGGCAACCCUGACCGAGCAACGCCGCGUGAGUGAAGAAGGUUUUCGGAUCGUAAAGCUCUGUUGUAAGAGAAGAACGUGUGUGAGAGUGGAAAGUUCACACAGUGACGGUAACUUACCAGAAAGGGACGGCUAACUACGUGCCAGCAGCCGCGGUAAUACGUAGGUCCCGAGCGUUGUCCGGAUUUAUUGGGCGUAAAGCGAGCGCAGGCGGUUUAAUAAGUCUGAAGUUAAAGGCAGUGGCUUAACCAUUGUUCGCUUUGGAAGCUGUUAAACUUGAGUGCAGAAGGGGAGAGUGGAAUUCCAUGUGUAGCGGUGAAAUGCGUAGAUAUAUGGAGGAACACCGGUGGCGAAAGCGGCUCUCUGGUCUGUAACUGACGCUGAGGCUCGAAAGCGUGGGGAGCAAACAGGAUUAGAUACCCUGGUAGUCC
rnacentral:rRNA from 1 species